rnacentral:lncRNA from 1 species
GAGGAGCUCAGAUGCAAUGAGAGAGAAUGGGAAUCACAGCUCAUUAGGUCGCUGCCUGAGCAUGGUGUGAGGUGCCCCUCCCAGCUGGCUCCUAUACCUUUCCAGAAUUAUUGUCAGAGAUCGAUUGGGAGGGGAUCCCACGUGAUGCCAGUUGGAAGUUCAGGUACUCUGGGAGUGACCAUUUCCUUCAGUGAGAAUCUAAUGCCUCACGGUGGCCUGCCAAGUUCCCGUGGAGUCUCAGUGAUGGCCCAUAGCAGUGCCCCAGCAAUGCCUUAUCCUAUGCCUCCAACAGUACCUGCCACCACGGGCUCUUUA